GGACCACGACAGGGUCCAUCUUGAAUCAGUUCUUAACAUGGUGUCCUCUUUGUUAAGUGUGGAGUCUCUGAGUAGAGAUGGCUUUGGUAGCUCCAAAGUAGACGGGUGAUGUGCUUUAACUCUUCUUGUCUAGACCAGUGGAACCAGAUGGAGCUUCGAAGUUUAGAAGACACAAGUUUUAAGGAUAUCAUCUCUUUUGAUCACUCACUGUACCUGAUUAUGGCAUUGUCCAAGCAUUAA
rnacentral:lncRNA from 1 species